UACGUAGGGUGCAAGCGUUGUCCGGAAUUAUUGGGCGUAAAGAGCUCGUAGGCGGUCUGUCGCGUCUGCUGUGAAAACUCGGGGCUUAACCCCGGGCCUGCAGUGGGUACGGGCAGACUAGAGUGCGGUAGGGGAGACUGGAAUUCCUGGUGUAGCGGUGAAAUGCGCAGAUAUCAGGAGGAACACCGGUGGCGAAGGCGGGUCUCUGGACAGGUACUGACGCUGAGACGCGAAAGCGUGGGUAGCAAACAGG
rnacentral:rRNA from 1 species